CCUUAUUCUAUGGAGUAAAGAAAAAUUUUUUUUUGCUGGGCAACUACGCUUGAAAUAGUAAAAGUCGAAGUACUUGGCGGCUUAAGGUAACCAUCCCUGUGGGACUUGACGGUUAAUCCGAUGAUCCGCGUUUAACCUUAUCAAAUUUUGAAUAAUUUAGAGUGAUAGUAAAACUCUUUUUUACAGCUGGUGUAUGGCCGUCUUGUUAAUCUAAGUCGUGAGUUAGAAUAAAGUUAGGUAAGGUCCGUUAUAAAAGCUUAUAUUAGUAAAUAAGCGGAGCAUGUCAGGUCGUUAUGCUGCCCAUAAUUUGAGCUUAGUUGAGUCACAAUUGCUUUAUGCAUACGGAAGUUUUCAGGAAGAUAGGAAAAUGGAAGAAGUAAUGGAUAGUAUUGAGUAAUUAAACACGUUCUCAAGAAUAGUGAACCUUUAAGUGUACAAAUCGCCC
rnacentral:rRNA from 1 species